rnacentral:rRNA from 1 species
UACGAAGGGUGCAAGCGUUACUCGGAAUUACUGGGCGUAAAGCGUGCGUAGGUGGUUUGUUAAGUCUGAUGUGAAAGCCCUGGGCUCAACCUGGGAAUUGCAUUGGAUACUGGCAGGCUAGAGUGCGGUAGAGGAUGGCGGAAUUCCCGGUGUAGCAGUGAAAUGCGUAGAGAUCGGGAGGAACAUCUGUGGCGAAGGCGGCCAUCUGGACCAGCACUGACACUGAGGCACGAAAGCGUGGGGAGCAAACGGG